AAAUGAAAUAGGCCUUUAUUGAAACCGUCUAUCCUGGGAGGCAGUUUGGCUGUGGAAGAAUAGACUUUUGGUUUCAGAUAUACUUCAGCUCAAAUGGACUUUGGAGGGCGCUGCUGUCACUGACAGUCUCGAAGAGCCUGCUGCAGGUGAAAGGUGAAAACGGAAGGCAGCCUGCUACAGUAUAUCAGGUUUACACCACCAUUCGGGAAGAACUCAGAUGAAACAGUCCGACUGUUCAGAAACACUGGACUCCUAGAUCUUCACUCAGAUUUGGAAUCAGCAAAGCCACGUCCAUUCUCCUGGGGAGAAAACAAGCGUUCUGCAGGCAAGCACUGGCUCAUCUGAACCUUCAAGAUCUCAAAGGGAGGACCUGAGAUGUAUGUAAGCAGAAGAUGCUUUCCCUUAGAUUUACAUCAUCUGGAGCUCUGGAGCCGAGCUGCUGCCCUGGGCGGGUGCACGGAGGACAGAACCCUCAGUUACAGCUGGGUAACCCCGGACCUGAAUGGAGGGGGCCUGAACAACCAGAGGUGGACGUUUUCUGCGAAUGAUGGAAAUCUUGCUUUCCUAUUGGGAAUCCAGGUGGAUUGCUACCUUGAAGUUACUGCACUGAACAGUGGCUUAAACAAAGCAGGGGUUUUGUUCUCUAGUAACAAGGAGGUUGGGGUAGGUGAUUGCUGUGUUGGUUCAGCAGCUCACAGAUGUCAGGGUCAGGGUGGCCUCUCGGGUGCCCUUGCCUUUCCCUCAGGUGGCUGCAGUUCCCCUAAAGAAGCUGGAGAAGGCCAAAGGUCAUGCCAGUUCGAAUUGCUCCCUUUUAGAGAGUUUUCUCAGCCGCCCAACAACUGCCAGACUGUGUCACUGGCUACUGCUAUCCACAGAGUGGCCUGAGAAAUAUAGUCUUGGUAGCUGGGCAUAUAACUGCCUUCAACAAAAAUCUGAGUUCUCGUCAUGAGGUAGAUGAUGAUAGAUCUGGAGUGAACAACUAGCCUGUGUCCUGGCUACAAAGUACAGCUGUAAAGGCGCACAGCUUCGGGGCAGAUCAGCACUCUAGCACCUUCACAGGUGGCCGCCCGCCCAGCACCGCUGCUCUGCUCGCAGAGAGCGAGCGCAGAGUGAAGACGGGCUAGGCUUUCUUGCCAGCACUUGCCAAGACUGAGCUGGACUCUCAGCCAAUACACUUGCCCACAUCAGGAUUUUCCAGAGGAGGACCCUGGGAACGUGCACACUCCCUUGGUGGACAUACUCUCUUUAUGGAGGUUCGGAAUGGCAUGAAGAAUAUUCCUACCUUGCUGCUUCCUCAUCGGCUUCAUGUUUCUCUUCUCCAAUUUUCCUGACAGAUUUUUGGAGGAGUCUUGUUUGUGUAUGUGAUCUCCAUACAAGGAUCAUCCCUUUCAUGCCCAGAGGAGGGUCUAUGUAAAGAAAGCUGCUUUACCCCUUUUUGUGACUCCACUACCAAUCUAGGAAUCUCCUGGGUGAAAAACUGCUUCUCAAAACUGCUUCUAUAAGCAGCCCACACCCUGGCUAAGCAAAGGGAGAGGAAACACUUCCCACGUCCAGGGCUGUUCAAAAGAACUUUCUGUGAUGACAGAAAUGUUCUGUCUGCACUGUCCAAGAGGGCAGCCCCUAGCCCCAGUGAACACUUGAAAUGUGGCUAGUGUGACAUUUACAUAAAAAGUACAUUGUAAGUAAUGUAAAUGCAAGUGGCCACGUGUGGCUGGUGGCUGUGGUGUGGCACAGCGGGGCACACACGGCAUCUUGCACUUUAGAGCCAGCUGGGAGGGGUUUGAGCCAGCCCUGCGCCAGGCGUUCCGUGGUCUUCACUAUUCCGCCUUGCCGUUGAACUUGUCUUCUGGAGAAAAAGGAAAAAAUGGAACUAAAUUCAAGAUGUUCACUUGACAUCUCCUCAUUGCACGCAUAAUGGAGAGGGGUCUCCUGGGAAUCGGUCCUGUGAUUGAUUUUAGCGAUUAUUGAUAAUGGGAAAAUGGCGGAGCUGAUCCACGUAGCAAUUCCUAGGGAACAUUGUGUGUUCCUGGUCAGAUAAGUCAGCGGAGAUUAUUUUGUUCUAUUGUGCAAUUCAUUGUGUUACUUUAUUUUUGUUGUAUUAUGGCUGCUAAAUGAUGAUUUCGUGUAUGUUUUUCAAAAUACUUAGUGGUUUAUAUUUUUUUAAAGGCUGUGAAAUAAAAAAUAA
rnacentral:lncRNA from 1 species